rnacentral:tRNA from 1 species
AGCUCCAUCGUGUAGUGGUUAGCAGGUCUGCUUUAUACGCAGAAGGUCUUGGGUUCGCUCCCCAGGUGGGGCUA